rnacentral:rRNA from 1 species
GACGAGCGCUGGCGGCGUGCUUAACACAUGCCAGUCGAACGGAAAGGCCCUGCUUUUGUGGGGUGCUCGAGUGGCGAACGGGUGAGUAACACGUGAGUAACCUGCCCUUGACUUUGGGAUAACUUCAGGAAACUGGGGCUAAUACCGGAUAGGAGCUCCUGCUGCAUGGUGGGGGUUGGAAAGUUUCGGCGGUUGGGGAUGGACUCGCGGCUUAUCAGCUUGUUGGUGGGGUAGUGGCUUACCAAGGCUUUGACGGGUAGCCGGCCUGAGAGGGUGACCGGCCACAUUGGGACUGAGAUACGGCCCAGACUCCUACGGGAGGCAGCAGUGGGGAAUAUUGCACAAUGGGCGGAAGCCUGAUGCAGCAACGCCGCGUGCGGGAUGACGGCCUUCGGGUUGUAAACCGCUUUCGCCUGUGACGAAGCGUGAGUGACGGUAAUGGGUAAAGAAGCACCGGCUAACUACGUG